UACAGAGGUCUCAAGCGUUGUUCGGAUUCAUUGGGCGUAAAGGGUGCGUAGGUGGCGUCGUAAAGUCGGGGUGUGAAAUUUCGGAGCUUAACUCCGAAACUGCAUUCGAUACUGCGGUGCUUGGAGGACUUGGAGAGGAGACUGGAAAUUUACGGGUGUAGCAGUGAAAUGCGUAGAGAUCGUAAGGAAGACCAGUGGCGGAAGGCGGGG
rnacentral:rRNA from 1 species